rnacentral:rRNA from 1 species
GAUGAACGCUGGCGGCGUGCUUAACACAUGCAAGUCGAACGAUGAAGCCCAGCUUGCUGGGUGGAUUAGUGGCGAACGGGUGAGUAACACGUGAGUAACCUGCCCUUAACUCUGGGAUAAGCCUGGGAAACUGGGUCUAAUACCGGAUAGGAGCGUCCACCGCAUGGUGGGUGUUGGAAAGAUUUAUCGGUUUUGGAUGGACUCGCGGCCUAUCAGCUUGUUGGUGGGGUAAUGGCUCACCACGGCGACGACGGGUAGCCGGCCCGGGAGGGUGACCGGCCACACGGGGAGUGGAGCACGGCGCGGACGCCACCGGGAGGAAGAGGUGGGAAAUAUGGCAGAAGGGGCGGAAGCCUGAUGCAGCGCCGCGGCGUGGGGAAUGCCGGCCUUCGGGUGGUAAGCCUCUUCCAGUAGGAAAGAAGAGAAAGUGUCGGUGACUGCAGAAGAAGCCGCGGCUAACUUC